CUUUAAAAUAUUGGGAUCAAUGGUCUAUAAUAAUUUUUUUUAGUUUCCUAAUUUUGAGCGUGAAUGUGGGGAGACUAAUUAAGCUAGGGGUAUUUUAGGGUUUUGAAGUGUAGAUGCCAUCCAGAUUAUUGGGAUUUAAUUUAGGAAUUAGUUCAUUAGAUAGGGUUUUGCAAUUUCACGUUGCACACUAGCAUCUGCACAACCAUACGUGUCUCACGGCUUCUUGGCUGCCAUCGUUCUCCGCCGUUGCAAUGUCUGACGAGCCUUUGGUCCAGAGACGUCGCUGGAACACGAUUGCUGCCAGCGAGUUUCAAGGUUCAAAGGCACAAAAAACCCACUCAACUAAAACGGUGCAGGUUAACAUCGAACAAACAGAGGACACCUCUGAAUAUAUUGUUACCUCGGAACCGAUUGCUCACAAAUCUUGACAUGCAUACCAUGACAGUGAAAUUGCAAAAUGGUUGUGUCCUCGAGGUGAAUGAGGAGGCUGUGGAGGCAGUGUUGGGGUUGUCACAUACACCAAAAGUCAUUAUUGAUCUAGCAAAGCAUGAGAAAAGCAUGAUUCUGAACAAGUGGCGGGAUUUGUGUGGUUUCACCAUACUAGAAAUUUAAUAAUAACUGUGAUAAAAACAAUGUCCAAUGGUACCGCGAUUUUUUUGGAUAUAUUACGUGCUACCAUGCACGGGCAAGGGACCAUAACGUGUUUGAGAUGCGUCCUUUGUGCACCAUUGAAUUUUUAACCAUGCAAACAUUGCAAACCUA